UCCCAGGUCUGAAGGGAAGGCGGAGACUCUGAAGUUACAUGGUAGGAAAGUGCACCAGGCUGAAGGCGGAAAGGAGACCACUUCGUGUACGAUCCUCACCUCCCAGGCACCGUCUCUGCAAAGGCAUCUAUAGUGUAUAUCAGCAAAGCGAGUUUCCAGGGCUAUAGGGAGAUGUCAACAGCCACAUGACAGCACUCCAGGAAACGUCACAGUACUUCUCUCAAAAGAAGCAACAGAAAGUAGCUAGGCAUGACACCCACGGUAUUUCUGGAGCCCACUGAACACCUCUGAUGCUCUGAGGACAGGAGUUCCAACACCAGCUAGCUCACUUACAUGGCAGCUCACAGCAGAGAGCUGUGCCUAGUAGGUGUUGGACACAGGCUGGGUGUUUCAUAAACAUUCUCUCUGAGCUCCCAAACGUGAGUCAGCAACCCUAAUUUAAUUUUCAGUCAUAACUGGUGGAAAUUCACUUUA
rnacentral:lncRNA from 1 species